UACGAAGGGGGCUAGCGUUGCUCGGAAUCACUGGGCGUAAAGGGUGCGUAGGCGGGUCUUUAAGUCAGGGGUGAAAUCCUGGAGCUCAACUCCAGAACUGCCUUUGAUACUGAGGAUCUUGAGUACGGGAGAGGUGAGUGGAACUGCGAGUGUAGAGGUGAAAUUCGUAGAUAUUCGCAAGAACACCAAAAGCGAAGGCAGCUCUCUGGGUCCCUACCGACGCUGGGGUGCGAAAGCAUGGGGAGCGAACAGG
rnacentral:rRNA from 1 species